rnacentral:rRNA from 1 species
AUUGAACGCUGGCGGCAGGCUUAACACAUGCAAGUCGAGCGGGGAUAGGGUGCUUGCACCUGAUUCCUAGCGGCGGACGGGUGAGUAAUGCUUAGGAAUCUGCCUAUUAGUGGGGGACGACAUUCCGAAAGGAAUGCUAAUACCGCAUACGCCCUACGGGGGAAAGCAGGGGAUCUUCGGACCUUGCGCUAAUAGAUGAGCCUAAGUCGGAUUAGCUAGUUGGUGGGGUAAAGGCCUACCAAGGAGACGAUCUGUAGCGGGUCUGAGAGGAUGAUCCGCCACACUGGGACUGAGGCACGGCCCAGACUCCUACGGGAGGCAGCAGUGGGGAAUAUUGGACAAUGGGGGGAACCCUGAUCCAGCCAUGCCGCGUGUGUGAAGAAGGCCUUUUGGUUGUAAAGCACUUUAAGCGAGGAGGAGGCUACCGAGAUUAAUACUCUUGGAUAGUGGACGUUACUCGCAGAAUAAGCACCGGCUAACUCUGUGCCAGCCGCCGCAGUAAUAC